rfam:Fervidicola ferrireducens strain Y170 AN618_contig000003, whole genome shotgun sequence.
CGCCGAUAAGGGCAAACCUGUCGAAAGGCAGGGGCGCAAAGCCAUGGGCCUACGGCUCUCAAAAAGAGCUACGGUCGCCAGGCUGCCGGC